rnacentral:rRNA from 1 species
UACGUAGGCAGCGAGCGUUGUUCGGAGUUACUGGGCGUAAAGGGUGUGUAGGCGGUUUUCUAAGUUUGGUGUGAAAUCUCCCGCUCAACCGGGAGGGUGCGCCGAAAACUGGGAGACUAGAGUGCGGGAUGGGAGAGUAGAAUUCCUGGUGUAGCGGUGAAAUGCGUAGAUAUCAGGAGGAAUACCGGUGGUGUAGACGGCUCUCUGGACCGCCACUGACGCUGAGACACGAAAGCGUGGGUAGCAACAGG